AUGUCAAUGUGUUCAUUUUUUGACUUAACAUCUUUAAUUGUUGUAGGCAUGGCUUCAUCCGGUUCCAUGACGAGGCCACCGUGUGCUAACCAAGAAGACAUGCCGCACAAGUGGGAGAACGCAUGUUUGGACAAGGUGAAGGAGAAAGAUGUGAAGAUUCCGCCAUGUUGGUGUGGAGAUGUUUGCAAGGUGAAGGUGUCCACCGACCGAAAGAAGUCAUGGACGGAAGGAAGGAGAUAUUUUGUAUGCCCCAACUAUGCUUAUGAUCGUGCGCUUCCAACUCAUGCCUAUGACCAACCACCGUCACCGCCUCCUCUAUGCAAGUACUUCACGUGGAUAGAUCAUGAAGUGCCAGAAGAUGUCCAAAAGGACCAAUAUCAAGAUUGUCUUAGGCGCCAGCGGCUGUUCGAAGAAAGGUUUCGAAGAGGCUUGGAGGAAGAGCGUCGUCAGAAGGAGAGGAUGGAGCGCAAGCAACACGAGGAGGAGAGGGCACGCCAAGCGAAGCUUGCUCAUGAGGAGGAGAGGGCAAGAAAGCUUGCAAAGGCUCGCAAGGCACAAGAGGAGGAUGAGGCACGUGACAAGAAGGGGAAAUGGCCCCCGUAUGACUCAGUAAAGCCUUCGCUUCGGUGGACUCGUCAUGUAACCGGAUGA
rnacentral:rRNA from 1 species